UAUGCCUGGAACCAUUAAUAGCUGUGAGACUGUGCGAGUUACAGUUGUUUUUUUUUAAAAAGUAAUUUUUAAAAACAUUUUGUGGGGUAGGAUUUGUAAAUCCCCAUGUAUAGCCUGAACUGCGGCACAGCUCAGAUACAAAGUACAGAUAAUUUGUUUUAUUGUUUUUGCGUAGAUCCCCAAGCUUAGGGCAUUCGUGGUGGUUUACAAUCUAUUAUUAAAAUGAAACAAACAGAAGGAUGACCCAAACGCUUCCUGGCCUUCGGUCCUUUUGGACAAGAACAGCUGGUUCUCUUCUGUUGUCCUUCAGCGUAUAAGAAACAAAUGAUCCCAAUGAAGAUCAAUUGAUCUGCAGAUCUUUAGGCUGCCCAAUUACGAAGGACGAAGCGGGACCCAACAAGCUUUUGCUGAGUAGUGAUCCAUCGAUGACAAAACAUUGCAGAAGUUUCCUCCGCUCUUCGCGACUGUCCUCGCUUUGUCCAGGUCAGCAUACAGAGG